UCACCUCGCUCUGAAGAUCCAUAACCGACAUUCCACGCUCUUCCGAAGACUCGAAUCGAUUCACCAUGCUCCAAAACUAGCCAAUAAGUAUGCAAACCCAUUAAUUUAUGCUUAAUUACUCAUUAUAAUUCAAUUUAUAACAAUUCCUAACCUCAAUCGAAAAGUUGACAAAAUUGCCCUCGGGCCCACGUGCCCGGAUUCCAAAAAUUUUCGAAGAUAAAGUUUACCUAUGAACUCACAAACUCAAAUAUAUGAUUUUCUCUUAGUUCCAGGCCCAAAAUAGUGGUAAAAAUCCAAAUUAUAAAUUUCUAGGUCUCCUACCAAAAACCCACAAUUUCUACCAAAUUUUCAUACUCAAAUCCAUAUAUAAUUCAAGUAUUAACUCAAAACUAGUAGAAUCCACUUACCUCAUGCGUGAUUGUGAAAAUGGCACCUCAAAGUUGCUCCAAAAAUCGGCUCCAAUGGAAGAAAUGGGGUUGAAAUGAACCCAACCCCCGAUUUAAAAGAACCUACUGCCUCCAGCAUUUUCGCAUCUGCGGUGCACCAGCUGCACCUGCGGAAUUUUUAUCGCGGGUGCGGUUUCAGCCAACUCGCUCAAGUCCGCUUCUAUAGAGCCAGAGCCGCUUCUGCGGUCUCGUUUCUGUGGAAGAUUUGUCGCACCUGCGACCCCAGCCAAGCCCAGCCAUUUUCCUCUUUUGCGACACAAGGGCCGCUUCUGCGGCUCCGCACCUGCGGCCCAAGUCUAGCAGGUGCGGUUACACCAGCAACUUCAGCUCUUCCUCCAAGUUCCAAUUCGAUCCGUUAACCAUCCGGAAUCCACCCGAGGCCCCAAGGACCCGGUCCAAUCACACUAACCAAUCCCAAAACACGUUACGGACUUGCUUGAGGCCUCAAAUCAUAUCGAACAACGCUAAAAUCAUGAAUCGACCUCCAAUCCAAGCUUAAUGAACUUAAGAAUUUCAAACUUCUUCAUUCGAUGCCAAAACAUA
rnacentral:lncRNA from 1 species